GAUGAACGCUGGCGGCGUGCCUAAUACAUGCAAGUCGAGCGAACGGACGAGAAGCUUGCUUCUCUGAUGUUAGCGGCGGACGGGUGAGUAACACGUGGAUAACCUACCUAUAAGACUGGGAUAACUUCGGGAAACCGGAGCUAAUACCGGAUGAUAUUUUGAACCGCAUUGUUCAAAAGUGAAAGACGGUCUUGCUGUCACUUAUCGAUGCAUCCGCGCUGCAUUAGCUAGUUGGUAAGGUAACGGCUUAUCAAGGCAACGAUGCAUAGCCGACCUGAGAGGGUGAUCGGCGACACUAGAGCUGAGACACGCACCAGACUCCUACGGGAGGCAGCAGUAGGGAAUCUGCCGCAAUGGGCGAAAGCCUGACGGAGCAACGCCGCGUGAGUGAUGAAGGUCUUCGGAUCGUAAAACUCUGUUAUUGGGGAAGAACAUAUGUGGAAGUAACUGUGCACAUCUUGACGGUACCUGAUCAGGAAGCCACGGCUAACUACGUG
rnacentral:rRNA from 1 species